rnacentral:lncRNA from 1 species
GUUGCUAAAAACUAGACUAGUCCUGAUUUCUACUUUCCCUUUGCCUGGAGGCUAAGCAAACAGUCAUCUAUCCAAACUGUCAACUUAAACACCACUUUCUUGGCAAUCAGCCUCUCCUUGCCCUUCCUAGUAUCUUAAAAUAAAUAAAUAAGUACACAACGGAGGUGGAAAGCCAAGCCAAGAGCACCAAUUUGUGUCCUCGGUUUUUCAGACCUUGGGUUCGUGGCAGAGCAGAGACGCAGAAGCACUAGCCUGCAGUAUUCCAUAAAACUAACAGCUGGAUCAAGCCAUACAGAUCCCUGCAAGAAUUUUCAGAAAGUCCAGUUAUGUCAAGAUGCAGCAGCCUCAGG